GCCAGCAUGGCAUAGUAGUUUGAGUGCUGGACUAUGACUCUGGAGACCAAGGUUCGAUUCCUGAUUUGCCG
rnacentral:tRNA from 1 species